GAUCGAAUGGGGAGAUUCAUCGUCAGCUCAUUUUGUAUAUGUAUGAGUUAUGAUAUAGGUUACUCUUGUAGUAUUGCUUGUACAUACUUGUACAUUUAUUUGCAAGAUGUUGUCGGCGUGCACUUCUCCCCUAGUAGGACGUCGCGACCCGUUGGGUGUUGGUCUACGACCUAAGUGGUAGCCUUUAAUGUUUAACAACAUUAAAGACCCUUAGUGUUUCUGACCAGCUGCCCGGCGGUACUCGUACGGUAUUUAGCCGCAUUUUAUGCGUCCAUAUCCGUCGCAAGCGAGACUAGUUUCUGACAGUACGGACCUAGUGCCGUCGUUGGAGCUAGUCAGCUGUUGGUUGUAACGGUAUUCUAGGACUGGCUAAAAUAAAUUACCGGUCGGCGAUGCUACUGCUUUGGGUACUUUCAGGACCCGUCUUGAAACACGGACCAAGGAGUCUAACAUGUGCGCGAGUCAUUGGGAUUUUUUUUCAAUUAAACCUAAAGGCGUAAUGAAAGUAAAGGUCGUCCUUGCGUCGACCGAGGGAGGAUAAGUUGUAUUAAGAUACAGCUUCGCACUCCCGGGGCGUCUCAUUCUCAUUGCGAGAAGAGGCGCACCUAGAGCGUACACGUUGGGACCC
rnacentral:rRNA from 1 species